GUGGGGAAUAUUGGACAAUGGGCGCAAGCCUGAUCCAGCCAUGCCGCGUGAGUGAUGACGGCCUUAGGGUUGUAAAGCUCUUUCGCACGCGACGAUAAUGACGGUAGCGUGAGAAGAAGCCCCGGCUAACUUCGUGCCAGCAGCCGCGGUAAUACGAAGGGGGCUAGCGUUGUUCGGAAUCACUGGGCGUAAAGGGUGCGUAGGCGGGCAUUUAAGUCAGGGGUGAAAUCCCGAGGCUCAACCUCGGAACUGCCCUUGAUACUGGAUGUCUUGAGUCCGGAAGAGGUGAGUGGAACUGCGAGUGUAGAGGUGAAAUUCGUAGAUAUUCGCAAGAACACCGGUGGCGAAGGCGGCUCACUGGUCCGGAACUGACGCUGAGGCACGACAGCGUGGGGAGCAAACAGG
rnacentral:rRNA from 1 species